rnacentral:rRNA from 1 species
UACGAAGGGGGCUAGCGUUGUUCGGAAUUACUGGGCGUAAAGCGCGUGUAGGCGGGUCUUUAAGUCAGGGGUGAAAUGCCAAGGCUCAACCUUGGAACUGCCUUUGAUACUGGAGACCUUGAGUCCGGGAGAGGUGAGUGGAAUUGCGAGUGUAGAGGUGAAAUUCGUAGAUAUUCGCAAGAACACCAGUGGCGAAGGCGGCUCACUGGCCCGGAACUGACGCUGAGACGCGGAAAGCGUGGGGAGCAAACAGGG